rnacentral:rRNA from 1 species
CUGGCUCAGGAUGAACGCUAGCUACAGGCUUAACACAUGCAAGUCGAGGGGUAGCAGGGUAGCAAUACCGCUGACGACCGGCGCACGGGUGAGUAACACGUAUCCAACCUUCCCAUAACUCAGGGAUAGCCUUUCGAAAGAAAGAUUAAUACCUGAUAGUACUUUUUCAAGGCAUCUUGAGAAAGUUAAAGAUUUAUUGGUUAUGGAUGGGGAUGCGUUCCAUUAGAUAGUUGGUGAGGUAACGGCUCACCAAGUCUUCGAUGGAUAGGGGUUCUGAGAGGAAGGUCCCCCACAUUGGUACUGAGACACGGACCAAACUCCUACGGGAGGCAGCAGUGAGGAAUAUUGGUCAAUGGGCGAGAGCCUGAACCAGCCAAGUAGCGUGAAGGAAUGAAGGUCCUAUGGAUUGUAAACUUCUUUUAUAGUAGAAUAAAGUGAUCCACGUGUGGAUUUUUGUAUGUAUACUAUGAAUAAGGAUCGGCUAACUCCGUGCCAGCCGCCGC